GUCAGGAUGUCCGAGCGGUCUAAGGCGCUGUGUUCAGGCCGCAGUCUACUUCUCCCUGCGUGAGAUUGAAUCUUACUUCUGAGA